AUGUGCCCUUUCUCUAGGAUUAUUCCCAAAGUGAAGGUGGUUGGCAUGGUAUAUCUAAGAUGCUUCAAGGAAUGUGAGGGAUGCCUCACAGGUCUUCACCAAAUAGAAGGAGAUACCAAAAGAACAAGAAAAUAGAGAGACCUCACUGCAAUCCAUCAGAAUGGCCUUUGCCUGUUGAUUGCAACCAAACAAAAGGUAGCAGAGUACUACAGAACAGUGGGGUCUGAGUGUGGUGCUGGAAGAGUUCCCUAAUGCUGACUGUCUGCAUUCCUGGAGGUUGGAUGGCCAUCAUCCUAUGUUCCUUAGUACUUACCUGUCAGAUAACCCCAGGAUUCCUGGACUUCUGACCAGCAGAGGAGACAGUGCUGCCCCCUCUAGGCAUUCUGAAAAUGUAUUCAUGUUUGUUACAUGGUUGGGGGCACUACUUGGGUGGAGGCAGAAGGGAGACAGACUGACUUCCUGCUACAGGUGGGACAGUCUUAUACAAUAAAGAUUUGUCCUGCA